UCGCAGGUCAGCAUACUGCGGUGAAUACGUUCCCGGGCCUUGUACACACCGCCCGUCACACCAUGGAAGUUGGCCAUGCCCGAAGUCGUUACUCCAACCCUUGUGGAGGAGGACGCCGAAGGUGGGGCUAAUGACUGGGGUGAAGUCGUAACAAGGUAGCCGUACCGGAAGGUGCGGCUGGAUCACCUCCUAA
rnacentral:rRNA from 1 species